rnacentral:rRNA from 1 species
GAUGAACGCUGGCGGCGUGCCUAAUACAUGCAAGUCGAGCGAAUGGAUUAAGAGCUUGCUCUUAUGAAGUUAGCGGCGGACGGGUGAGUAACACGUGGGUAACCUGCCCAUAAGACUGGGAUAACUCCGGGAAACCGGGGCUAAUACCGGAUAACAUUUUGAACCGCAUGGUUCGAAAUUGAAAGGCGGCUUCGGCUGUCACUUAUGGAUGGACCCGCGUCGCAUUAGCUAGUUGGUGAGGUAACGGCUCACCAAGGCAACGAGUCGUAGCCGACCUGAGAGGGGGAUCGGCCACACUGGGACUGAGACACGGCCCAGAAUCCUACGGGAGGCAGCAGUAGGGAAUCUUCCGCAAUGGACGAAAGUCUGACGGAGCAACGCCGCGUGAGUGAUGAAGGCUUUCGGGUCGUAAAACUCUGUUGUUAGGGAAGAACAAGUGCUAGUUGAAUAAGCUGGCACCUUGACGGUACCUAACCAGAAAGCCACGGCUAACUACGUGCCAGCAGCCGCAGUAA